UAACACGUAGGGGGCAAGCGUUGUCCGGAUUUAUUGGGCGUAAAGAGCUCGUAGGCGGCUCGGUAAGUCGGGUGUGAAACCUCCAGGCUCAACCUGGAGACGCCACUUGAUACUGCCGUGGCUAGAGUCCGGUAGGGGAGCACGGAAUUCCUGGUGUAGCGGUGAAAUGCGCAGAUAUCAGGAGGAACACCAGCGGCGAAGGCGGUGCUCUGGGCCGGAACUGACGCUGAGGAGCGAAAGCGUGGGGAGCAAACAGG
rnacentral:rRNA from 1 species